GAUGAACGCUGGCGGCGUGCCUAAUACAUGCAAGUCGAGCGAACAGACGAGGAGCUUGCUCCUUCGACGUUAGCGGCGGACGGGUGAGUAACACGUAGGUAACCUACCUAUAAGACUGGGAUAACUUCGGGAAACCGGAGAUAAUACCGGAUAAUAUUUCGAACCGCAUGGUUCGAUAGUGAAAGAUGGCUUUGCUAUCCCUUAUAGAUGGACCUGCGCCGUAUUAGCUAGUUGGUAAGGUAACGGCUUACCAAGGCAACGAUACGUAGCCGACCUGAGAGGGUGAUCGGCCACACUGGAACUGAGACACGGUCCAGACUCCUACGGGAGGCAGCAGUAGGGAAUCUUCCGCAAAGGGCGAAAGCCUGACGGAGCAACGCCGCGUGAGUGAUGAAGGUCUUCGGAUCGUAAAACUCUGUUAUUAGGGAAGAACAAACGUGUAAGUAACUGUGCACGUCUUGACGGUACCUAAUCAGAAAGCCACGGCUAACUACGUG
rnacentral:rRNA from 1 species